rnacentral:rRNA from 1 species
GACGAACCACACAAACGUUAUUCGGAAUUACUGGGCUUAAAGGGUGCGUAGGCGGCGCUAAAAGUUGGGUGUGAAAUCCCUCGGCUUAACCGAGGAACUGCGCCCAAUACUGUAGUGCUUGAGGAAGAUAGAGGUGAGCGGAACUUAGGGUGGAGCGGUGAAAUGCGUUGAUAUCCUAAGGAACACCCGUGGCGAAAGCGGCUCACUGGAUCUUAUCUGACGCUGAGGCACGAAAGCUAGGGUAGCGAAC